AUAUUGUGUGAACUUGGUUUUGUCGUGGAAUACUUUGGUUUCUCCAUCUAUGGUAAUUGAGAGUUUGGCCGGGUAUAGUAGCCUGGGCUGGCAUUUGUGUUCUCUUAGUGUCUGUAUAACAUCUGUCCAGGCUCUUCUGGCUUUCAUAGUCUCUGGUGAAAAGUCUGGUGUAAUUCUGAUAGGCCUUCCUUUAUAUGUUACUUGACCUUUCUCCCUUACUGCUUUUAAUAUUCUAUCUUUAUUUAGUGCAUUUGUUGUUCUGAUUAUUAUGUGUCGGGAGGAAUUUCUUUUCUGGUCCAGUCUAUUUGGAGUUCUGUAUGCUUCUUGUAUGAUCAUGGGCAUCUCUUUUUUUAUGUUUGGGAAGUUUUCUUCUAUUAUUUUGUUGAAGAUAUUAGCUGGCCCUUUAAGUUGAAAAUCUUCAUUCUCAUCAAUUCCUAUUAUCCGUAGGUUUGGUCUUCUCAUUGUGUCCUGGAUUACCUGGAUGUUUUGAGUUAGGAUCCUUUUGCAUUUUGUAUUUUCUUUGACUGUUGUGUCGAUGUUCUCUAUGGAAUCUUCUGCACCUGAGAUUCUCUCUUCCAUUUCUUGUAUUCUGUUGCUGAUGCUCGCAUCUAUGGUUCCAGAUCUCUUUCCUAGGGUUUCUAUCUCCAGCGUUGCCUCGCUUUGGGUUUUCUUUAUUGUGUCUACUUCCCCUUUUAGUUCUAGUAUGGUUUUGUUCAUUUCCAUCACCUGUUUGGCUGUGUUUUCCUGCUUUUCUUUAAGAGCCUGUAACUCUUUAGCAGUGCUCUCCUGUAAAUCUUUAAGUGACUUAUGAAAGUCCUUCUUGAUGUCCUCUAUCAUCAUCAUGAGAAAUGUUUUUAAAUCUGGGUCUAGAUUUUCGGUUGUGUUGGGGUGCCCAGGACUAGGUGGGGUGGGAGUGCUGCGUUCUGAUGAUGGUGAGUGGUCUUGAUUUCUGUUAGUAGGAUUCUUACGUUUGCCUUUCGCCAUCUGGUAAUCUCUGAAGCUAGCUGUUUUAUUUGUCACUGUUAAGAGCUUGUUCUUCAGGUGACUCUGUUAGCCUCUAUGAGCAGACCUGGAGGGUAGCACUCUCCUUAGUUUCAGUGGGCAGAGUAUUCUCUGCAGGCAAGCUCUCUUCUUGCAAGGCAGGUACCCAGAUAUCUGGUGUUCGAACCAGACUCCUGGCAGAAGUUGUGUUCCACUCACUAGAGGUCUUAGGAUCACGUGUGGAAUCCUGUGUGGGCCCUUGCGGGUGUCAGGCGACUCAGCUGGCAAGGUAGCCGGGGCUCGAGUGGAGUGGAAGGGGUUUGUGCCCCAGAUCAGGCCCGGGUAGCCUGCUUCCCUAUGUACCGCAGUCUCAAGUUCCGCGCGAUUGGAUUGGGGCAGGCACUGUGAUCCACUCACCAGAGGUCUUAGGGUCCCGUGGGGAGUCCCGUGUGGACCCUUGCGGGUGUUGGGCAAGACUCUGCUGGCAAGGUAGCCCGGGGCUCGAGUCUCGAGUCGAGCGGAAGGGACUUGUGCCCCAGAUCAGGCCCGGGUAGCCUGCUUCCCUAUGUACCGCAGUCUCGAGUUCCGCGCGAUUGGAUUGGGGCAGGCACUGUGAUCCACUCACCAGAGGUCUUAGGGUCCCGUGGGGAGUCCCGUGUGGACCCUUGCGGGUGUUGGGCAAGACUCUGCUGGCAAGGUAGCCCGGGGCUCGAGUCUCGAGUCGAGCGGAAGGGCAAGUAUGUUCACUUUUAACCAAUCUGAAAUUAGAAACGGAAUACAUCUUUAAUUUCUAAAUUAUUUGUCCUUGAGGAUUGUAUCCUGGACUUUAUGUGGGCUUAACUACUUGCUGAGCUACCGAAAUAGGCACACAGGUUCUCAGAUACUAGUUUUGCUGUAAUUUGUUGUUGUUUUGCAUGCAUACCUAUAAUUGUAAAGUCAUCAUUUUGAAUUAUGCAUAUUUUAGGCACAGCAGCAAUUGCUAAAUCCUGAGGUUUGACCUUGUAAAGUUAAGUUGUAUAUACCUGAAAACAGAGGUGAAGACCAGUGGGAUAUGUGGUGAUGAUAAUGAUGACGACGACGAUGAUGGUUUUGAUGAUACACAAAAGGCUCAAGAAAAAUAAGUGAUAAAGAAAUGUGGUGUCACCAUUUGAUUGGUUGUGUUUUUCUUUGCUCUCUGGUGAAACGUAAACACUGUAUGUCCAGCACAGUGAUAACCUUUUGAUUCAUUGAAGCUUGCAACCAUAUUUUAGUUUGAGUAAUUUAAAUGGGAAGACUUAGUACAUAAUGGGAGUUUUAAGAAAGUGUGUUUAUGAAAGAUGGCCAUUAUCUCAAAAGUCAUUUUAAAAUUCAGUUUCUGCAAAGGGAAAGUAACAAAGAAAGAUUAAUCUUGGCAUUUAUUCAAAUAUAAAAUAAAGCAGCCCCAAUGACUGUAGUUAGAUCAUUUGUUAGCAAGAGAUGACUAUGACAGCAUAAAAUCUUUAGAGUGAUAUUGUGUGCAUGAAGAUAUAAGUACAGUCAUGGACGUCACAAGGCAAGUGCAGAUGCAGGCCCGAUCAGUACCCAGAACAAUAUGGGCACCAUUCCCGUAGGUAGAAUUUGUUUUCAUUUCUGUAGGAAUGGCCAGUUGGUGAUUUUAUAUGUCUUAACAAAUGAAGACUUGUAAAAUAGCUGAGAGCUGAUGGAAGGUUCAGGCCCUAGUGGAGCCAGAUUGUCAUGCUGUGUAGCACAAGAUGUUCAAAUUCUCCUUAAGUAAAUUUAUGGAAGAAUCUUUAUAUGUUGUAUUUUUUUCACAUUUUUCCUGAGAAAGCACAGAGUUUAGAUUUUCAGUAGGCUUUUAUCAAACUUUAUUUACAUUUAAUUGGAAGGAUUGCAUUCAAAGAGCCCCUCUCACUUCCUUCCUCUCUUAUCUUUCCAAUUAGCUUUUAUGUAUAUGUGUGUGUGUGUGUAUGUGUGUAUGUUUGUAUGUAUGUGUCUGUAUGUGCGUGUGUUUGAUUGUGUGCUAUGUGUCCUUGUGGAUGUCAGAGGACAGCUUUUUGGGGUUGUCUUGUUUUCCCCUUGCACUUUUAUGUGGUUCCAGGGGUCAUGUUUGGGGUGAUAGGUGUUCAUAGCAAGUACCUUUUACCUAUUAAGCCAUCUCACCUGUCCCCACCUAGCUAUUCUAGAGGGUUGCUUGUUAUGAACCACACAUGACUAGUAAAUUAAAUUAAGCCCAUAUUAUGUCUUUUCUGG
rnacentral:lncRNA from 1 species